rnacentral:rRNA from 1 species
UACGUAGGGGGCAAGCGUUGUCCGGAAUCAUUGGGCGUAAAGCGCGUGUAGGCGGCCCGGUAAGUCCGCUGUGAAAGUCGGGGGCUCAACCCUCGAAUGCCGGUGGAUACUGUCGGGCUAGAGUGCGGGAGAGGCGAGUGGAAUUCCUGGUGUAGCGGUGAAAUGCGCAGAUAUCAGGAGGAACACCAAUAGCGAAGGCAGCUCGCUGGGACGGUACUGACGCUAAGGCGCGAAAGCGUGGGGAGCGAACAGG